CAGUAGCCACGGUAAUACGUAGGUGGCAAGCGUUGUCCGGAAUUAUUGGGCGUAAAGGGCUCGCAGGCGGUUUCUUAAGUCUGAUGUGAAAGCCCCCGGCUCAACCGGGGAGGGUCAUUGGAAACUGGGAAACUUGAGUGCAGAAGAGGAGAGUGGAAUUCCACGUGUAGCGGUGAAAUGCGUAGAGAUGUGGAGGAACACCAGUGGCGAAGGCGACUCUCUGGUCUGUAACUGACGCUGAGGAGCGAAAGCGUGGGGAGCGAACAGGAUUAGAUACCCCCGUAGUCCCUGUCUCUUAUAU
rnacentral:rRNA from 1 species